UACGUAGGGUGCAAGCGUUUGUCCGGAAUUAUUGGGCGUAAAGAGCUCGUAGGCGGUUUGUCGCGUCUGCUGUGAAAACGCGAGGCUCAACCUCGCGCCUGCAGUGGGUACGGGCAGACUAGAGUGCGGUAGGGGGAGAUUGGAAUUCCUGGUGUAGCGGUGGAAUGCGCAGAUAUCAGGAGGAACACCGAUGGCGAAGGCAGAUCUCUGGGCCGUAACUGACGCUGAGGAGCGAAAAGCGUGGGGGAGCGAACAGG
rnacentral:rRNA from 1 species